rnacentral:rRNA from 1 species
UACGUAGGGUGCAAGCGUUGUCCGGAAUUAUUGGGCGUAAAGAGCUCGUAGGCGGUUUCGUCGCGUCGGCUGUGAAAAUCCCCGAGGCUCAACCUCGGGGUCUGCAGUCGAUACGGGGCGGGACUGGAGUUCGGCAGGGGAGACUGGAAUUCCUGGUGUAGCGGUGAAAAUGCGCAGAUAUCAGGAGGAACACCGGUGGCGAAGGCGGGACUCUGGGCCGAAUACUGACGCUGGAGGAGCGAAAGCGUGGGAGGCAAACAGGA